GAGCUUCUGGACAAGAAAAUUGAAGCCUUUAGAUCGGAUGCAAAAGUGAAAUGGAACGACUGUGAAUUAAUAUAUGCUGUAGGCACGGACGGGAAAUGUGACUUGAAAUUUACGAAAGAAGGAAAAGGUCCAAAGUAUUAUGCGGAUCACCUGCCUGUUGUUUCAAGCGACUCUGCUUUUAAUGGAUUACGAGUUGUAAGAGGUCCAGCAUGGAAGGAAAAUGAUAAAGACGAUGGAGGAUUAGGAUAUGUUGGAACAAUUGUAAAGAUUCACAAGAAAUCAUCAAGAAAUACAACAACGGAUGAUAAAUCAAAACAAGAUCAAGGAACAUCUAGAGAUCAGAAGAAAAAAUCGCAGAUCGUACAUGUUCAAUGGGACAAUGGAAACACACGUCAUUAUGAUGUACAGAAUGAAUUGCUUCGAAUUUUAGACA